rnacentral:rRNA from 1 species
UGGGGAAUAUUGCACAAUGGGGGAAACCCUGAUGCAGCGACGCCGCGUGAGUGAAGAAGUAUUUCGGUAUGUAAAGCUCUAUCAGCAGGGAAGAUAAUGACGGUACCUGACUAAGAAGCCCCGGCUAACUACGUGCCAGCAGCCGCGGUAAUACGUAGGGGGCAAGCGUUAUCCGGAUUUACUGGGUGUAAAGGGAGCGUAGACGGCGAUGCAAGUCUGAAGUGAAAACCCGGGGCUCAACCCUGGGACUGCUUUGGAAACUGUCAGGCUGGAGUGCAGGAGAGGUAAGUGGAAUUCCUAGUGUAGCGGUGAAAUGCGUAGAUAUUAGGAGGAACACCAGUGGCGAAGGCGGCUUACUGGACUGUAACUGACGUUGAGGCUCGAAAGCGUGGGGAGCAAACAGG